AACGAACGCUGGCGGCAGGCUUAACACAUGCAAGUCGAGCGCCCCGCAAGGGGAGCGGCAGACGGGUGAGUAACGCGUGGGAAUCUACCCAUCUCUACGGAAUAACGCAUGGAAACGUGUGCUAAUACCGUAUACGUCCUUCGGGAGAAAGAUUUAUCGGAGGUGGAUGAGCCCGCGUUGGAUUAGCUAGUUGGUGGGGUAAAGGCCUACCAAGGCGACGAUCCAUAGCUGGUCUGAGAGGAUGAUCAGCCACACUGGGACUGAGACACGGCCCAGACUCCUACGGGAGGCAGCAGUGGGGAAUAUUGGACAAUGGGCGCAAGCCUGAUCCAGCCAUGCCGCGUGAGUGAUGAAGGCCCUAGGGUUGUAAAGCUCUUCCACCGGUGAAGAUAAUGACGGUAACCGGAGAAGAAGCCCCGGCUAACUUCGUGCCAGCAGCCGCCGUAACAC
rnacentral:rRNA from 1 species